GCAGAAUCCCUGUGCAGUAACACUAUAUCAGAGGCAAGAGCUUGCUCCUCUGUUCACAUUGAGAGCAGCUCGUUUUUUUUUUCCACUAGGCACCAGACUGUGGAAGCAACACUGACAGCAGGAGAGGCAGCCCCCUAUGACAGUGGCUGUUUUUGGUUCAGACAAGAACAACUUAUUGUUUUUCUUUUCUUUUUGUUUAAAGAAAACACCACUUCUGAUUUUAACACAUUCUUCGGCAUGGCAGAACCUUGAAGAAGUGUAGAGUAGCCACACAAGCUGAAGCUUCUCCAGGAUUUCAGCGGCUGCAGACUGAGAACUAAAACUGCAGGUUACAGUGAGGGGCUGUCAAGGUAGAGGAGCAUUUCCUGCCUGACUGAGGGGAAUCAUUUUCUAUCCCACUGUUGAUGCAUAAAAACGGACCUGCUGAGCCCAGAUUGGUUGCUGUGUUUGCCUGCAGAACAACAGGGACGACAGUUCAAAGAACAAACCGAUGGUUGUGAAGCAUUCCAGGAUGCUUUGAUAACUAGAAAGAAAAAAAGGGACGUUCGUAGCCUGGCCUUCUGGAAUACACAAUGCUGAGAACUGAAAUUCGCUUCCCAUGACACACUGGCUUUUUUUGACUUUGCUCAUUGUUCAGUACGAUGUGAGCAUGUGACAGUAGAGCACUUUUACUUUAACUGGAAUGCAGGGCUAUUUUAUUCAUCCAAAUAUCUGAACCUUUGGCAAAUAAUCAUUAAUAACCAAAGGGAAAUUAAAAAUAAUGCAUGUGAUUUGCCUUGUCCAAUUUAAUUUGUUAAUUGGAUCCCGCACAGCUAUUUGGUGAAUGUUGUACUGAUUAGAGUGAACAGAACCUUUCACAACUUUCAACCAACAUUGGCAUUAAGCACUUCCAAACCAACCUAGAUAACCACAGGAUAAACUGCCCUCUGCACUGUUUCAAAAAUGAAGCCUUGGCUUCACCUCAGACAUGAAUUUCUGUGGCAAUACAUCGCUGUUGGGUGAUACUGAAAGUUUUAUGUCUACACCGGGUAUGUUGCCAAUCUCAAUAGUAUCUGAAGGAGGGAGUUAUUUUGUGGUGGUCUUAUCAGGUGAAUUUUGCCGAAUAGCAGACAGUAUUUCUCCGUCACUGAUACACUUUAAAGUUAGCUUGUGCCACUAAAUACUUCAAGUCUGAGCAUUUUAUGAGGCAUCAACGCAUUCUUAUGACAAAGAUUAUAUUGACGGAAAGCUAUGCAGCUUCAGGUUUGUGUUUACAUUUUUUCUCUUUUCCAGCAAUUGAUUAACUAUUUGAAGCACAUUUUUAAAAAGUAUUUCACUGUUUCACUGAUAACCAAAUGCAAACAUGUCGCCAGACUUUCAACAGUAAAUUGUGAGCUUUGUUCUGAAUAUCCAUAGUCAUUUUCUAUAUAAGCAGAGGAGACAAAGCAUUGUGCAGAUGUGCCAUGCUUCAGAGAUUCAGCAGGUGCUCGUGGGCACUGGUGUAAUAUUACAAUAUAAUGAGCCCUGAUGCUGUAAAAGCACCAGUGAGGAUUGUACAUGUAGAAUUCAUAUUCUGACUGUAUUUCAGGUAUAACAGAGGCAUGAGUGCCAAUCUACAACUAAUUAAUAUCAUUUUUGUCUGAUUAACAUUGCUCAGUUGGUGCAGAGUGGUAGUAUGUGGCGAUAGGGCAAACAUUAGUUCGGUUGACAUAGGUUCAAACACAUUUCACUUCAAACCCUGUGAGUCAUCAGCUAGAAGAAAUAUUCAUUCAGCCGCUGAAGUAUAAAGAAGGGGAAAAAAAGGUAUUGUCAUGACUUAGAACUCACCGGUGUUCUUGCUCAUUUCCUCUUUGUAUCUACAUUCACUGUAUGAGAUGAUGGUUUAUUCAAUGUCAACAAUGCCAAUUGUGCAGUA